rnacentral:rRNA from 1 species
ACGAGCAAUAAGUUUUCAGGAUGGAUUGCUGAGUGGCGGACGGGUGAGUAACGCGUGGAUACUGCCUCACACUGGGGGAUAACAGUUAGAAAUGACUGCUAAUACCGCAUAAGACCGCAUGGUAAAAACUCCGGUGGUGUGAGAUGGAUCCGCGUCUGAUUAGCCAGUUGGCGGGGUAACGGCCCACCAAAGCGACGAUCAGUAGCCGACCUGAGAGGGUGACCGGCCACAUUGGGACUGAGACACGGCCCAGACUCCUACGGGAGGCAGCAGUGGGGGAUAUUGCACAAUGGGGGAAACCCUGAUGCAGCGACGCCGCGUGGAGGAAGAAGGUUUUCGGAUUGUAAACUCCUGUCGUUAGGGACGAUAAUGACGGUACCUAACAAGAAAGCACCGGCUAACUACGUGCCAGCAGCCGCGGUAAAACGUAGGGUGCAAGCGUUGUCCGGAAUUACUGGGUGUAAAGGGAGCGCAGGCGGGAAGACAAGUUGGAAGUGAAAACCAUGGGCUCAACCCAUGAAUUGCUUUCAAAACUGUUUUUCUUGAGUAGUGCAGAGGUAGAUGGAAUUCCCGGUGUAGCGGUGGAAUGCGUAGAUAUCGGGAGGAACACCAGUGGCGAAGGCGGUCUACUGGGCACCAACUGACGCUGAGGCUCGAAAGCAUGGGUAGCA